AUUUAUAUAGUUUAAAAAAAACAUUACAUUUUCAUUGUAAAAAUAAUAUUUGUUAUUUAUAAAUA
rnacentral:tRNA from 1 species